UACGAAGGGGACUAGCGUUGUUCGGAAUUACUGGGCGUAAAGCGCACGUAGGCGGAUUUGUAAGUCAGGGGUGAAAUCCCGGGGCUCAACCUCGGAACUGCCUUUGAUACUGCAAAUCUCGAGUCCGAUAGAGGUGGGUGGAAUUCCUAGUGUAGAGGUGAAAUUCGUAGAUAUUAGGAAGAACACCGGUGGCGAAGGCGGCCCACUGGAUCGGUACUGACGCUGAGGCGCGAAAGCCAGGGGAGCAAACGGG
rnacentral:rRNA from 1 species